CUGAUUCUAGGAGCCAUUUUCUGGAGCUAUAUGAUCUCGACCAACCUCAGCAUCCUAAUCUCUUCUUUUAGUCAUGAAAUUUUUAUGGCAAGUUUACUUUGCAUUGAUGGUUACCGAUUCCGGAUUUUAUUUUGAUUUCAACUAUAUUAUCCAAUCAUGUAUCCCCUUGUGUUUCUUAGCUUGUAUUACCUUUGCUGCCUUUGGGCUUUUUAAUGAAUUAUUCACUAUUGACCAAAGGAAAAUUCUUGAAGUUUAAAUUUUAGCCUGAGCAUUUCCAGAAACACUACUUUUUUUUUGGGUUGCUAAUUCUUAUUAGUUAAAAUGGCUAGAAAGUUAUUUUGAAUGAAAUAGAAAGAGGGAAGGAUUUUGGCUGAGUUAGGAUUUAGGAUUCAGACCACGUUUUCUUUUUCUUGUUUUCAUCUUCCCUCAUCCUCUCAUAAUCUCCAUCCCUGUCUCACUUUUUUUUUUCCCUUCUUAUCUCUCUCGACUCUCUUUGAAAAUUCUAGUUUUAUUAUCUACAACCAUGGCAAUUAGGGUUAUGAAAACAAGACUUGCUGAUUUCCAUAAAACGUAAAUGACAGAUUUGUCUCAACCAUGUAAAAAGUCCCCAACCAAUUCAAGAAAUAUUACUUGCAAAGGGACUCAGUCAAAUUGGUAAACAUCAUUUGAAGUUAAAGCACCAUCAGUCCAGUCGGAUUGAACUGAGGUGUGCCUGCCAACUAUCUGAAUAACAACUGUGUUUUAGGACCAAAAUAAGAGCAAAAAAAAAAAGAAAAAAAGAACAAAAAAAGAAACACCAGCAGCUAAAACCCCAAGUGGGAAAACAGAGAGCAAGACCAGUUUCAAACCAGCUAGAAGGUGAAAAAUGAAACAGAAGAAAAAGUCAUGCACUCAAAUUUCUAGGGUGCAGGUGGAAAUGACAGAAGCAAUUGGUGGAAUGGAAGGACUGUAAAAUUUUAUAUUGAGGCAAAUUGUCACCAUCAAUGUUAAUGGGAGAAUGAGUUUCAUAAUUCAUUCUCUUUGGCAGAAUGAAUCCAUUCCAUAUAUAGCAUAAGCAUUGAACAUUUCCAUUGGUUAAAUACCACUGGGUUUAAACUUAAUAUUAAGUAGAAGAAAAAAAAGAAGCAAACUUAAUAUUAAGUAGAAGAAAAAAAAGAAGCAGCAAUUAAUUUGAAGUAAAAGAUUCAAACCCUAAACUAUAUGGAUCUGUAUACCUUCUAGUUAAAAUAUAAAAUUUUGGUCAAUAUAUACCUUCUAGUUAAAGGUGAGAUUUAAUCAAACACCAAGUCUUGGUGAGAUUUAAUCAAACACCAAGUCUUGACUUGGUUCUAAAUACUAAGUAUAUAUAUAUAUAUAUAUAUAUAUAUAUAUAUAUAUAUAUAUAUAUAUAUUCAAAUCCUUACCUGCUUCGACAUGGAAAAUCAUAUCCAAGAGUACAAGACCAGUUCAUUCUCCCCAGUCUAUAAAUAGGCUUCUAACCCAUGAAGGAUUUUCAUCCCACACCCUCAAACCAAAUCUUUAUUACGUACCUAGCAAAUUAAGCCAACUGCAAUGAAAGCUGUUUACUUCCUCAUAAGCACUCUUGCCAUAUUGGCAUCUGCAACCUUCCUUGUCUCUGCCUCUGACCCCAGUCCUCUUCAGGACUUCUGUGUAGCACUGAAUGACACCAAAUCUGCUGGUAUGCAUGAAUAUAUACUUGUGUUAAUUAUUUAUAUUCUGCCCUGCAAUUAUUCCCACAUGAAUUAUUUUCAUUAGAUAUUAGUUUUAUGAAGAUCGUUUUUCUGUUAACUAUAGCUUCUUCUCAUGCAUGAAAAAUCUAUUAGUACGUAAUUUUACAUAUGAAUAAUGCUAUUUGUACUGCAUUUACCGGGCAUCUUAGUGAUCAUCUCUCUGAGAUACAUUAAAGUGGUUUCCACUUACGUACGUGGAUUUUACCUCCGAAUAGUUCUAACACUAAAGUUUAAUAUAAAUUUUUUUUGGGUUGUAGAAGCAGUGUUUGUGAAUGGGAAGUUCUGUAAGGACCCAAAGCUUGCCAAUGCAAAUGAUUUCUUCUUUUCUGGCCUCCAAAAUCCAAGAAACACACAAAAUCCGCUUGGUUCAAAUGUGACAGCCGUGAAUGUGGACAACCUACUAGGACUGAACACUCUCGGCAUAUCCUUGGCUCGCAUAGACUUUGCACCAAAUGGCCUAAACCCUCCUCACACUCACCCUCGUGCCACUGAAAUCCUUGUGGUCUUGGAAGGAACACUCUAUGUUGGUUUCGUCACAUCCAACGGUGAUGGCAAUCGCCUAUUCACCAAAGUGUUGAACAAGGGAGAUGUGUUUGUGUUCCCAAUUGGCCUCAUUCACUUCCAACUCAAUGUGGGACACGUCAACGCUGUAGCCUUUGCUGGGCUUAGCAGCCAGAACCCAGGAGUGAUCACCAUAGCCAAAGCAGUGUUUGGCUCCCAGCCUCCCAUCAACCCUGAUGUUCUAGCCAAGGCCUUCCAAGUGGACGACAAUGUGGUUGACAAUCUUCAGAAACAGUUCUGGUACGACAACAAUUAGUAAAAUACAACAAAUAAUUAUAAGGCCAAGGAAAGAACAACCAAUCGAUGUGCUUGGUUGGAUGUAUUAAGUUGGCCAAUAUGUUUUUCACUACGUACCUACAAUAAAUUACUAUGAUGUAAUAUUAAUUGAAUAAGAUUGUUGGAUACUUACCCUCUGGGUUUUGAAAUAACAUAAUUUCAUACUUUAGUUUUGAAAUAACAUUAUGCAUUAAUUCAACAAAGUUAUUAUGACAGCUUAAUAAUACUAAAAUGGAGGAGCCUUGCCAUUUUAACAUUGAUAAAUUUGGCCCAUGCUCUAGGGCAAAUCAAGUAGAAAUUUCUCUCUCUCGAGGACAGCUAUUUGCGUGCAAUUAGUGCAGACAUUAAAUUCAACCGUUGGAUCGAUUUUAAAAGGUUACAUGUGUUAGAAUUCAAAGCUUCUAGUAAUUAGUUUUGAAUAUUUUGGAUGUUUGGGAGGAAGGAAGAAAUCACAGAGAGAGAAUGAAGAAGAGAACGUUGCUCUGAAUAGAAAAAUGGAGAUUACUUUUCAUUUCUACUCCACUAGCCAAUAUAUCGUCAGGAAAGAGAGAGAAGUGAGAUGCUUCUCUAACAGAUUUACAUCAAGAUUGAAUCCUUGCCAUUGCUCCUAUCAUCCUAUGAGAUGCUCACAUUUGUCACAAGCUAUCACUUAAAUCCUAGGCUAGAAACAGAGUCCACUUGGACUAUGAUCCAAUGGCUCACAUUACAAACAUAAAUUAAAACAUAUAAAAUGAAAUUCAAAAAACUUUGUGACUUUGGCUCCAAGGUUUUCAGCUCAAGGGUUACACAUCAACAACAUGUAGAAUCUGGUAAAAGAAAACACAAAUAAACCUAACUGAGACCCAGUGACCCACACAAUCAUCUUCUCUUUCCUCUUUCUCUGCCUUCUUCUAUUUUCCUCUCCUUCUCCUAUCCUCUCUCUUUGGGCAUUCAAAUUGAAAAAUUGAGCUUAAUCGAGCAGAAAAAAAUCGAAAUAACCAAAAAUCAGACCGAGUUAACCAAAAACUGAACUAGACCGGUUUGGUCCGAUUUCAAUUCCAGUAUCUUGUAGUGAAAAAAGGGACCGGGCGAACCGAACAGAUUGUGGUGAAUUUCAGACAACGGUUUUUUUUUUUUUUUUUUUCAUCUUCUCAUAAUCUUCAUAUCUGUUUCACAUUUUCUUCUCCCUUCUCAUCUCUCUCUACUUUCUCACUUUGAAAAUUCAAUAAUCUACGACCGUAACAACUCGGGUUAUUAAAAAUAUAUAUAUAUAUAUAUAUAUAUAUAUUCGACUUACUAAUUUCCAUAAAAAUUAAAUGACACAUUUGUGUGUUUGAAAUAUUACUGGAGGGACUGUUUAAGAGCUACUCAGUCAUGUUGGUAAACAUCAUUUGAAGUUAAGCAGCAUCAGAUUGAAUUCAGGUGUGCCUGCCAAUUAUCUGAAUAACAUCUGUGUUUUAGGAUCAAAAAGAAAACAUAACAAGAAAAAAAAAAAAAAAAAAACACCACCAGCUAACCCCAACGGGAAAAUAAUCAGGAGCAGCGGCUGCUUUGAGCAAGACCAGUUUUUUUUUUAAUCGGUGGACUGACUGUAAAAUUUUAUAUCGAGGCAAAUUGUCACCAUCAAUGUUAAUAUAUAAGGAAACGAAUUUCAUUCUCUUUGUAGAAUGAAUCCAUAUAUAGCAUAAGCAUUGAACAUUUCCAUUGGUUAAAUACCACCUAAUUAAAAAAAAUAAAUAAUUAUCUCCUAACUACUCUUUUUUUUGGUACAACUCCUAAUACCUGGUCUUUCAUCAUCAUAAUUAUAUGAAUAUAUUCUCCCUCAACUGACCUUGUCUUAUAAUUAAACAACCCUAAUAACCCUUUACAAAAGGUAACUUAUUUUAUUGAAACACCAAACAGUAGAGCUGAGUCAAAGUUCUUCAAAAUUCUAUCACAACUGAAUUUUCUUUUUCUAGUGCUAAAAUAUAUGUAGGAAAUUUAUUGUUCAAUAGUUAAACUUAAAGGUGAGAUUUUGUCAAAUACCAAGUCUUGACUUGCCUCUAAAUACCCCUAUCUCAAGGGUAAGAAAAUGACCAAAAUACCCCUAUCUCAAGGGUAAAUUUGUAAUUUCCCUUAAAUAAUGUAAAUAACUUAAAUAAAUGGUUAAAUUUGGAGUCGGGGUGUUACAUAAAUACCACCUAAUUAAAAAAAAAAAUAUAAUUAUCUCCUAACUACUCUUUCUUUUUGGUACAAUUCCUUGCAAUGUUAUCGAAUCGGUUUCCUGUAAUUUUGUUACAAUGGAGAACCCUCCUGCUUCUAAUGGUGAUGAGACCCUGUCAAUUAUGGAUUGCUUUGCAGAAGAAAGCAAGUUUCUUGUGAAUGAUAAUGGCAAAAAUGAGUCUCUAGGCAACAUUGCCAACAUCCAAAUAUAAUUUGCAUUGUUUAUCAGAUUAUCUCUAUCAUCAUAGACUUAUAUAUAUGUGAAAAUGCCCUCCAUUUUCCAGGUUGUGCCAGCACAGGUUUUGUUCACUGGUUAGCUAAAAUAUUGUACUUAAAUUCGUUUUAAUCAUAUGUGGGCUUGCUUAGGAGACUUUCAUGGGGGCCCAAACCUAGCUUCAAAGGAUGGCUCAAGCCCAGAAUAUUUUUUUGAUAUUUUUCCCGAAAAGAUAUAAAGCAGGCUUUAUGAUGUUCCUUGGCCCUCAAACACCAAAGCAUACUAGGAGUUGGUAAGGAGGCAACAACCCACCUCUGCAAGCACAACAUGUCAACUAUAUUGGCUGCACAUAAGUAGAGCACAUACUUUUUGGUCGUCCAUUAGAGUUGUUGAAAUAUCAAGAAGAUACAAGAGCACUUCUCCUCAUUCUAAUCCCUCACACACUCAUUUUAGAUGGGGUGAAUACUUUAGUGUAAGUUACAUUGAUCGGUUGAGCAUGAACACUUGUAUUCAUAUGCAUUUGUUUAAGAGUUUUUCCCAUCAAGAAACUCUCUAACAAUCCUUAUUAUAUUAGGUUAGGUUAAGUUAUUUCAAUCCAUAUAGAAUAGGGAAGUAUCACAAGCCUUGUUUAACUUGUACUACACGUCUGCAAGGCUAUCUGAUUGGCUAUUAGUUAAUUUCUUCUGCGUACUUUUAUCAGUUACCACAUGUGCUGAUGUGUUUGCCAUUUUCAUCUUGGCUUUUUCCAGUCAUAAGUAUGCCGAUUUUUUAUUUGGUUAUGUGAAUCUUGCAAUGCCUUUGGUGUUUAUUUGACUAAGAAGUCUUUUUUUUCCUAUUUGUGUUAUCAUUUUAAAACACUCUCUGUGCAUGUGUUGUAGCUUGCCAAUACAUAUUUGCAAAUGCUGUAACUAAUUAGUGCCUUUAUGCUAUCGGAUGCUUCUUUCAGAUAUGUUUGGUUCUUGUCACUGUUUCCUUUACCAUAGCUGGAGAGUAAAGAAAAACCCUGCUUUAUUUUGCUAGUAGUAAUUGUAUUCUAUUAUCCUCUGCUGAUGAGGAUUUUCUUUCUCUUCCUGCUUUCUUGAUAAUGCUCUCUUGUUUUUCCAAUGAGCAAUGAUAUGUUACUGCUUAUAGUAAUAUCUGACUCUUCUCAACUACAGAAUGUCAUUGCUUGAAGCAUGAGUUUUGAACUAGAUGGUGUAACUUCCAUACUGUUAAUACAUUUUAAUUUUUCUUACAUACAUCUGUAUCUGUUGGCUUCCCUAAGUGUAAUGUGUGCAUAUUAUCCUGCAGGAACUUAAUAAUCUCGAACAUUUGGGCAAUGCUACACCUCAUUUCAAUACAAGCAACAUAUAUAAAGGUCUAGGAGACUUGGAAAACUUGGGUAGAGUUGGUGAAGUUGGAUAUAAUUUUUGCAGUGAGCCUGAUUCUAGGAGCCAUUUUCUGGAGCUAUAUGAUCUCGACCAACCUCAGCAUCCUAAUCUCUUCUUUUAGUUAUGUAAUUUUUAUGGCAAGUUUACUUUGCAUUGAUGGUUACCGAUUCCGGAUUUUAUUUUGAUUUCAACUAUAUUAUCCAAUCAUGUAUCCCUUUAUGUUUCUUAGCUUGUAUUACCUUUGCUGCUUUUGGGCUGUUUAAUGAAUUAUUCACUAUUGAC
rnacentral:lncRNA from 1 species